AUUGAACGCUGGCGGCAGGCCUAACACAUGCAAGUCGAACGGUAACAGGAAGCAGCUUGCUGCUUCGCUGACGAGUGGCGGACGGGUGAGUAAUGUCUGGGAAACUGCCUGAUGGAGGGGGAUAACUACUGGAAACGGUAGCUAAUACCGCAUAACGUCGCAAGACCAAAGAGGGGGACCUUAGGGCCUCUUGCCAUCGGAUGUGCCCAGAUGGGAUUAGCUAGUAGGUGGGGUAACGGCUCACCUAGGCGACGAUCCCUAGCUGGUCUGAGAGGAUGACCAGCCACACUGGAACUGGGACACGGUCCAGGCUCCUACGGGAGGCAGCAGUGGGGAAUAUUGCACAAUGGGCGCAAGCCUGAUGCAGCCAUGCCGCGUGUAUGAAGAAGGCCUUCGGGUUGUAAAGUACUUUCAGCGGGGAGGAAGGGAGUAAAGUUAAUACCUUUGCUCAUUGACGUUACCCGCAGAAGAAGCACCGGCUAACUCCGUG
rnacentral:rRNA from 1 species